GGCAUAGAGUGUACGUCAACAUCCCAAACUAAGCACCCAUCACAGUUAUUCCCAACUCGCAGGAAAGCUAGAAAAUUUAGAAGGCUUAAAACAUAAUUAUAAAUGAAAAUAACAAGAAAUCAAAGUUUUUGAGGAGCAAUUGUUAGCCAAGCAAGGAAAGCCAUUAACCAGUGCUGAUUACAUUGCAUUUGAUUACAGCAGCCAAAGACGUGUCCAGAGGAAGAGACUUUUAAAGAUUAGUCUUUCGGUAAGAAUGGUUGCUUAACAAGUUCAGACUACUGGGGUACACCAAUUAUCAAUUAAAAAGCAAGGCAAACUAGUGUGAGUCAUUUUCCUUAAUCCUUAAUGCGUCAAAAAUUACCACAUUGGCCAAGCUGGUCUCCAACUCCUGACCUCAGGGGAUCUGCCCGCCCCGGCCUCCCAAAGUGCUGGGAUUACAGGCGUGAGCCACCACGCCUGGCUGAGAACUGUUUGACAGAGGCUGAGGGGAGGCUCCUGUCCCUUCCUGGGACAUCCACAUCCCACCCAGUUUCCCAUAUCGACUAUGACACUCGAAGCAUCACAGCAAGGGCAGCUGCAUCCCCGCAGUUCUCUGCACUCAUGCCACAGCUGCGUGAGCAGCCGCAGCCCUGGAGCUGCCACUCAGCCUUAUCGUGCUGGCACAAGCACAUCAGAAACUACCAAGCCCCCAAGAGGGAGGAUUGGGGACCCAGGGGAGUGAACCAGGAGGGAGGAAUGCGUGGGGGCCCAGGGCAGUGAACCAGGAGGGAGGAGGGUGGAGUUCGGCCCAGGGAGUGAACCAGGAGGGAGGUGGCUGGAGUGGUCCAGGGAGUGAACCAGGAGGGAGGAUUGGGGGCCCAGGGAGUGAACCAGGAGGGAGGAAGUGGUCGGGUCCAGGGGGAGGUGGGUCCAGGGAGGGAGGAGGGGAGGGAAAGCGGUCCAGGGAAUGAAGCAGAAGGGCUCUGGGGGUAGCAAGUUCACACACCACAAAUACCUCCCAAUCCAUCCGCGUGCAGGGAGGGGAUGGAAACCACACAGGACCUGCAGCACUUUCUCCUCGCAGAUGAGGAGUGAGGAUACCGACUCAUGCACAAAUCAGAGCUAAAUUUCUACCACGGUGGGGAGACGCUUCAAGACCCAAAUGGGUCAAAAAGAAACCAAUCAUACAAGAUCAGUGGAUGGAAGGAAUCAGUAAGCCUGUAACAGUUUCAGAAAAAACUUCACUUAUCUGCAAGAUGACUGCAGCUCUGCUUGAUCAUUUCUGCAAAUGUCUAACUCGCGAUGAGCCAUCUCAGAGCCUUCAAGAGGAGUAACAAAAUCAAAACGCCACGGCAUCCUCCGUAUUUUAGAUAGCCUGCAACAGUAUGGAAAUGAGCAGCGGUGCCAGAGCUUUCAAGUUUGUUUGAAGUAAAUUCCAGCAUCAGGGCAGCAUCUUCCUGGCUGAAGCAAUGAGGUAGGCUCCUGCUCACCGCAUGGGAGACCAGCUUUCAGCUAAGCUGCUGUUAAGGGUCUGCAAACCAUGAUCCCCGACCGAGCCUUGGCCAGGGAUUUUUACACGUUGAAGUUUUCACAAAAGAAAUAUAUGCAGAGACUUCUGUGGCCCUCAAAGCAUAACACGUUGCCUACUCUGCCCUUUACAGGAGCUUCUAGCUUUGCUGUCAGUUACAAAGUGUUUCUAUAAAAUAAUGUCACUGAUUCUCAAGCAUGCCAGCAAAAGUCACACUUCUCAACAACCCUCAAUGGAGAUGCACCAUCCUGUGUUUCACACAGAUUUUAGAUUUUUAAAAGCCAAAAUAAGGGAGGUAAUUCAGCUAAGUAUUAUAGUAACACAAUUUGAGAUACUUAAUGAUGUGUGACAACAGAAUACUUGGCAUUCCUGUGAGGCAAUAAACUAGCUCAAACACAAAAUAACAAAUCAAAGCAUGUUUUGGCCUCUCAAAGUGAUCAGUGAAAUUGGAAAUAACAUUCAGUUAAAUGACACUAAAAAAAAAAAAAAAAAA
rnacentral:lncRNA from 1 species